rnacentral:rRNA from 1 species
AUUGAACGCUGGCGGCAGGCCUAACACAUGCAAGUCGAACGAGUGGCGGACGGGUGAGUAAUGUCUGGGAAACUGCCCGAUGGAGGGGGAUAACUACUGGAAACGGUAGCUAAUACCGCAUACCAUCGGAUGUGCCCAGAUGGGAUUAGCUAGUAGGUGGGGUAACGGCUAACCUAGGCGACGAUCCCUAGCUGGUCUGAGAGGAUGACAAGCCACACUGGAACUGAGACACGGUCCAGACGCCUACGGGAUGCAGCAGUGGGGAAUAUUGCACAAUGGGCGAAAGCCUGAUGCAGCCAUGACGCGUGGAUGAAGAAGGCCUUCGGGUUGUAAAGUACUUUCAGCGAGGAGGAGUUACUCGCAGAAGAAGCACCGGCUAACUCCGUGCCAGCCGCCGCGGUAAUAC